AUAUCAUCAGUGCUGCUAGAACAAUGUUUCUCAACCUGGUCCUCAGGGACCUCCAGACGGUCCACGAUUUAGCUCCUUCCAGGCUCCGUGACAGACAGUCAUGAUACAUCUAAACCAUUCCGAUGUCAAGAGCGAAAAUAGAGACAAAACUAUAUGAACAAACAUCUCACUCAGGAUGUUCCAAAUUGAGAUCUAUCUGAGGAAGAACAUUUAGAACCAUGUGGAGAAGGUCUCUCAAGACCCUAGGAAUCAUCAGCUCCCUCCAGGCCCACCAUCCGGAAGAGGAGGGAAGGGCGUGUUGAUGGAGCAUUGCAAGACGGAAUCUGAUUGGAGGAGACUUGAUAAAGAAGGAAUGUAUAGAGGAAGACGACAAUGGUGUUUAAAUAGGAGCACGAGGUCUUCUUAAAUUAAAUUUUAAACACAAAGAAA